rnacentral:rRNA from 1 species
GCCCUUAGAGUUUGAUCAUGGCUCAGGACGAACGCUGGCGGCGUGCCUAAUACAUGCAAGUCGAGCGCGGGAAGCAAGGUGAUCCCUUCGGGGUGAAUCUUGUGGAACGAGCGGCGGACGGGUGAGUAACACGUGGGCAACCUGCCUGUAAGACUGGGAUAACUCGCGGAAACGUGAGCUAAUACCGGAUAAUACUUUUCUUUACCUAAGGAGAAGUUGAAAGGCGGCUUUUCGGAGCUGUCACUUACAGAUGGGCCCGCGGCGCAUUAGCUAGUUGGUAGGGUAAUGGCCUACCAAGGCGACGAUGCGUAGCCGACCUGAGAGGGUGAUCGGCCACACUGGGACUGAGACACGGCCCAGACUCCUACGGGAGGCAGCAGUAGGGAAUCUUCCGCAAUGGACGAAAGUCUGACGGAGCAACGCCGCGUGAACGAUGAAGGUUUUCGGAUCGUAAAGUUCUGUUGUUAGGGAAGAACAAGUACCGUUCAAAUA